ACGCUCGACACCUACGGGAGAAGCAGUCGGGAAUAUUGCGCAAUGGAGGGAACUCUGACGCAGUGACGCCGCGUAUAGGAAGAAGGUUUUCGGAUUGUAAACUAUUGUCGUUAGGGAAGAGAAAGGACAGUACCUAAGGAGGAAGCUCCGGCUAACUACGUGCCAGGAGCCGCGGUAAUCUGAGCGGGCUGGCAAGGC
rnacentral:rRNA from 1 species